ACGACUGCUAAUACUCUAUACUCCUGCUUAACACAAGUUGAGUAGGGAAAGUUUUUCGGUGUAGGAUGAGACUAUAUAGUAUCAGCUAGUUGGUAAGGUAAUGGCUUACCAAGGCUAUGACGCUUAACUGGUCUGAGAGGAUGAUCAGUCACACUGGAACUGAGACACGGUCCAGACUCCUACGGGAGGCAGCAGUAGGGAAUAUUGCGCAAUGGGGGAAACCCUGACGCAGCAACGCCGCGUGGAGGAUGACACUUUUCGGAGCGUAAACUCCUUUUCUUAGGGAAGAAUUCUGACGGUACCUAAGGAAUAAGCACCGGCUAACUCCGUGCCAGCAGCCGCGGUAAUACGGAGGGUGCAAGCGUUACUCGGAAUCACUGGGCGUAAAGGGCGCGUAGGCGGAUUAUCAAGUCUCUUGUGAAAUCUAAUGGCUUAACCAUUAAACUGCUUGGGAAACUGAUAGUCUAGAGUGAGGGAGAGGCAGAUGGAAUUGGUGGUGUAGGGGUAAAAUCCGUAGAUAUCACCAAGAAUACCCAUUGCGAAGGCGAUCUGCUGGAACUCAACUGACGCUAAGGCGCGAAAGCGUGGGGAGCAAACAGGAUUAGAUACCCUGGUAGUCCACGCCCUAAACGAUGUACACUAGUUGUUGGGAUGCUAGUCAUCUCAGUAAUGCAGCUAACGCAUUAAGUGUACCGCCUGGGGAGUACGGUCGCAAGAUUAAAACUCAAAGGAAUAGACGGGGACCCGCACAAGCGGUGGAGCAUGUGGUUUAAUUCGAAGAUACGCGAAGAACCUUACCUGGGCUUGAUAUCCUAAGAACCUUAUAGAGAUAUGAGGGUGCUAGCUUGCUAGAACUUAGAGACAGGUGCUGCACGGCUGUCGUCAGCUCGUGUCGUGAGAUGUUGGGUUAAGUCCCGCAACGAGCGCAACCCACGUAUUUAGUUGCUAACGGUUCGGCCGAGCACUCUAAAUAGACUGCCUUCGUAAGGAGGAGGAAGGUGUGGACGACGUCAAGUCAUCAUGGCCCUUAUGCCCAGGGCGACACACGUGCUACAAUGGCAUAUACAAUGAGACGCAAUACCGCGAGGUGGAGCAAAUCUAUAAAAUAUGUCCCAGUUCGGAUUGUUCUCUGCAACUCGAGAGCAUGAAGCCGGAAUCGCUAGUAAUCGUAGAUCAGCCAUGCUACGGUGAAUACGUUCCCGGGUCUUGUACUCACCGCCCGUCACACCAUGGGAGUUGAUUUCACUCGAAGCCGGAAUACUAAACUAGUUACCGUCCACAGUGGAAUCAGCGACUGGGGUGAAGUCGUAACAAGGUAACCGUAGGAGAACCUGCGGUUGGAUCACCUCCUUUCUA
rnacentral:rRNA from 1 species